GAUGAAGAACGUAGCGAAAUGCGAUACGUAAUGUGAAUUGCAAAUUCAGUGAAUCAUCGAGUCUUUGAACGCACAUUGCGCCCCCUGGUAUUCCGGGGGGCAUGCCUGUCCGAGCGUCAUUGCUGCCCUCAAGCACGGCUUGUGUGUUGGGCCCCGUCCUCCGAUUCCGGGGGACGGGCCCGAAAGGCAGCGGCGGCACCGCGUCCGGUCCUCGAGCGUAUGGGGCUUUGUCACCCGCUCUGUAGGCCCGGCCGGCGCUUGCCGAUCAACCCAAAUUUUUAUCCAGGUUGACCUCGGAUCAGGUAGGGAUACCCGCUGAACUUAAGCAUAUCAAUAACGGAGGA
rnacentral:misc_RNA from 1 species